rnacentral:rRNA from 1 species
UGAGGAAUAUUGGUCAAUGGACGGAAGUCUGAACCAGCCAAGUAGCGUGCAGGAUGACGGCCCUAUGGGUUGUAAACUGCUUUUGUAUGGGGAUAAAGUUAGGGACGUGUCCCUAUUUGCAGGUACCAUACGAAUAAGGACCGGCUAAUUCCGUGCCAGCAGCCGCGGUAAUACGGAAGGUCCAGGCGUUAUCCGGAUUUAUUGGGUUUAAAGGGAGCGUAGGCUGGAGAUUAAGUGUGUUGUGAAAUGUAGACGCUCAACGUCUGAAUUGCAGCGCGAACUGUCAGACUUGAGUGCGCACAACGUAGGCGGAAUUCAUGGUGUAGCGGUGAAAUGCUUAGAUAUCAUGAAGAACUCCGAUUGCGAAGGCAGCUUACGGGAGCGCAACUGACGCUGAAGCUCGAAGGUGCGGGUAUCGAACAGG